rnacentral:lncRNA from 1 species
UUAAAUAAUAAAAAAUAUACGGUAUAUAAAUUUUAGAUUAUAAAUUAUUUGUCUAAUCGCGUUUUUGGAAUAUUUUAUGCUACUGCGACAAAUAUUAAAAACAUGAAAAGCAUUACGAUACAACAAUGCCUGUAACUUGGCGGGUGGCUUCAUCGUAAAUGUUAACUUAUCAGAAAGGAUAUGAUUCAUAACUAGAUUCCACGUUUUCAGAAUUUCCAGAAAGUCUAGACCUGUUGAAACUCAUCCUUGACCUGACGGCCAUUCCCAUCAUGGAUGCGGGCGAACGUGAUUAGCAAUGAACGCUUACAGUUUAGUAAUAGCCUAUUGAAAAACUAUGUGAAGUAUCAUGAAAAAGCCAAACUGAGGAAAGAAGAAUUCUGCCAGAAGGCAAUUAACGGAAAAGAGGAGUCAUUGCCUAUUACAAACACACUGUGUAACGGUUGCAGUUCUGGGCUGGAUUGGCCGCGUGGAAACGCUUCGGCUUUCCAUUUGGAAGACCCAAAUUCGAGUCUCGACUUC